rnacentral:rRNA from 1 species
AGUGAACGCUGGCGGUAGGCCUAACACAUGCCAGUCGAACGGCAGCACAGUAAGAGCUUGCUCUUACGGGUGGCGAGUGGCGGACGGGUGAGGAAUACAUCGGAAUCUACUUUUUCGUGGGGGAUAACGUAGGGAAACUUACGCUAAUACCGCAUACGACCUACGGGUGAAAGCAGGGGAUCUUCGGACCUUGCGCGAUUGAAUGAGCCGAUGUCGGAUUAGCUAGUUGGCGGGGUAAAGGCCCACCAAGGCGACGAUCCGUAGCUGGUCUGAGAGGAUUAUCAGCCACACUGGAACUGAGACACGGUCCAGACUCCUACGGGAGGCAGCAGUGGGGAAUAUUGGACAAUGGGCGCAAGCCUGAUCCAGCCAUACCGCGUGGGUGAAGAAGGCCUUCGGGUUGUAAAGCCCUUUUGUUGGGAAAGAAAAGCAGCAGGUUAAUACCCCGCUGUUCUGACGGUACCCAAAGAAUAAGCACCGGCUAACUUCGUG